GUACUUGAUGGAUAAGCCACGGCUAAUUCCGUGCCAGCAGCCGCGGUAAUACGGGAGUGGCAAGCGUUAUCCGGAAUUAUUGGGCGUAAAGCGUCCGCAGGCGGCCCAACAAGUCUGCUGUUAAAAAGUGGAGCUUAACUCCAUCCAUGGCAGUGGAAACUGUUGGGCUCGAGUGUGGUAGGGGCAGAGGGAAUUCCCGGUGUAGCGGUGAAAUGCGUAGAUAUCGGGAAGAACACCAGUGGCGAAGGCGCUCUGCUGGGCCAUCACUGACGCUCAUGGACGAAAGCCAGGGGAGCGAAAGGGAUUAGAUACCCCUGUAGUCCUGGCCGUAAACGAUGAACACUAGGUGUCGGGGGAAUCGACCCCUCCGGUGUCGUAGCCAACGCGUUAAGUGUUCCGCCUGGGGAGUACGCACGCAAGUGUGAAACUCAAAGGAAUUGACGGGGGCCCGCACAAGCGGUGGAGUAUGUGGUUUAAUUCGAUGCAACGCGAAGAACCUUACCAGGGUUUGACAUCCUGCGAAUCUCUUGGAAACUUGAGAGUGCCUUCGGGAGCGCAGUGACAGGUGGUGCAUGGCUGUCGUCAGCUCGUGUCGUGAGAUGUUGGGUUAAGUCCCGCAACGAGCGCAACCCACGUCUUUAGUUGCCAGCAUUUAGUUGGGCACUCUAGAGAGACCGCCGGUGAUAAACCGGAGGAAGGUGUGGAUGACGUCAAGUCAUCAUGCCCCUUACAUCCUGGGCUACACACGUACUACAAUGCUACGGACAAAGGGCAGCAAGUUCGCGAGGACAAGCAAAUCCCAUAAACCGUGGCUCAGUUCAGAUCGUAGGCUGCAACUCGCCUACGUGAAGGAGGAAUCGCUAGUAAUCGCGGGUCAGCAUACUGCGGUGAAUACGUUCCCGGGCCUUGUACACACCGCCCGUCACACCAUGGAAGUUGGCCACGCCCGAAGCCGUUACUCCAACCCUUGUGGAGGAGGACGUCGAAGGUGGGGCUGAUGACUGGGGUG
rnacentral:rRNA from 1 species